GUGGACCCAGGUCCUCCAGCAGACACCAGUCCACCGUGGACCCAGAUCCUCCAGCAGACACCAGUCCACCGUGGACCCAGACACAACAUUUAAGCUCCUAGCAGUGACUUUAACGCUCAGUUCACCCAGAACACGCGGGUAGAUUCUGUUAUCUGCUGGACCUGAUGGCGUGUUUACAUAACUAACGUGGACAAACUGGAUUUAUCAAUAUAUUCAUAUCUCUCUUUUGCACCCACUUCCUGUACGAGCUGCUGAACGAGGAAGACGCACAAUUCUUGUAGACAAAAUCAGAUAACACCCCCCCAAAAAAGUUAUGGUUAGCUAGACAACACGGAGUCAUAACAGACAGAAUAAUUCCAGUCAAUUCUGUCCUCCGGUCCAGUGGAGCUUUGGCCAGCGAUCACGUCAGACCAACAAAGGCCUCGAUUGUGGGUGGACACACACACACACACACACACACACACACACACAACUAGGCCACUCACUUACAGGAUUACAGCCAGAGGCAGUGUGACCGUUUCCACCAGCACGGUGAGUCCAGUGACAGCGUGUUGCUCAAAGGCACCAGGGCAGCACCAUGAGGGUCAACACCAAUGACUACAGAGCAGUGGAGGAAGGACUAAAACAAAGAAGACUGAAGUAAGAAGUGUCCCUUCAGGUUCCUCCUCACUCUGUGAGAGCUGCAGACAUCUUUCCCAAUCUGUUCAUGUGAAGUAUAGAUCUUUAUCGUAAGAGUCCACAUCUAAAGAGGGGCGAUCCGUCUCCAGACCUCCAACCUGGACCUUCAGAGCGCCCUGCGGCGGGACAGCCUCGUCGCCACGGCAACAGCACUCGCUGUCCAAUUGGAUCCCGGGAGUGUGUUCUCAGGCAGGUAAG